rnacentral:rRNA from 1 species
UAGGGAAUCUUCCACAAUGGACGAAGUCUGAUGGAGCAACGCCGCGUGAGUGAUGAAGGGUUUCGGCUCGUAAAACUCUGUUGUUGGAGAAGAACAGGUGAUAGAGUAACUGUUAUCAUCUUGACGGUAUCCAACCAGAAAGCCACGGCUAACUACGUGCCAGCAGCCGCGGUAAUACGUAGGUGGCAAGCGUUGUCCGGAUUUAUUGGGCGUAAAGCGAGCGCAGGCGGUUUUUUAGGUCUGAUGUGAAAGCCUUCGGCUUAACCGGAGAAGGGCAUCGGAAACCGGGAGACUUGAGUGCAGAAGAGGACAGUGGAACUCCAUGUGUAGCGGUGAAAUGCGUAGAUAUAUGGAAGAACACCAGUGGCGAAGGCGGCUGUCUGGUCUGUAACUGACGCUGAGGCUCGAAAGCAUGGGUAGCGAACAGGAUUAGAUACCCUGGUAGUCCAUGCCGUAAACGAUGAGUGCUAAGUGUUGGAGGG